rnacentral:misc_RNA from 1 species
GAUGAAGAACGCAGCGAAAUGCGAUACGUAAUGUGAAUUGCAGAAUUCAGUGAAUCAUCGAGUCUUUGAACGCACAUUGCGCCCCCUGGUAUUCCGGGGGGCAUGCCUGUCCGAGCGUCAUUCCUGCCCUCAAGCACGGCUUGUGUGUUGGGCCUCCGUCCUCCUCCCGGGGGACGGGCCCGAAAGGCAGCGGCGGCACCGCGUCCGGUCCUCGAGCGUAUGGGGCUUCGUCACCCGCUCUUGUAGGCCCGGCCGGCGCUUGCCGACACAUCAAUCUUUUUUCCAGGUUGACCUCGGAUCAGGUAGGGAUACCCGCUGAACUUAAGCAUAUCAAUAAGCGGAGGA